ensembl:lncRNA
GUCGCUUGUAGGUGUAGAUGCAGAACCAUCGGUCUGUUGGCUUGUACCCUUAGGUCAUCUGAAACCAAAGUACUGGCUUCUUAGGUAUCGUUUUGGGAAUCAAACACUGAAUAAACUCAGGAAUAUUGAAAUCAAGCACCAGUUCUGAAGCCAAGCACUGAAUACCAUUCAGGAGAGCCCUUUUUGGACAGAAAUCUCACUUUGGGUAACCAUGUGCUGCAGAAGUGCAAUCUGGCUCUGUGGGCCAGAAGUAAUGCUGUGAGAUCAGGAGACAGAUGAACCACUGGGACCUGCUGUUGAUCCCUGACCCAUACUGUUAACUAAAUAUAUGUAGUGAUCUCCAAAUAAAGGUAUUUCCGUUGCCAAGAUUGAGCUCCCCUGUGAACUGCAAGCUGGUCAGGGUGCAGGUCUUCAAGGCACCACACACUCUUCAAGACGACUCCAUACAUGGGAUACAGGAACAAAGAACUGAAGCAGUCCCGGGCCACUUGCACAGUAUGGGCAAGCAGCGUCUUCAAGGGGACCAAAGCAUAGAAUCGUAGAAUUCUUCAGUUGGAAGGGAUGCUUAAAGGCCUUCUGGUCCAACUCUCCUGCAAUGAACAGGGAUACCUACAGCUACAUCAGGGUGCUCAGAGCCCCCAUCCAGCCUGACCUGGAGUGUCUCCAGGGACGGGGCAUCCACCUCUCUGGGCAACCUGUGCCAGUGCCUCACCGCCCUUAUUGUAAAAAACUUCUUUAUGUCCAGUCUAAACCUCCUCUGUUUUAGCUUGAAACCAUGUGCACUCGUCCUAUCCCAAGAGACCAUGCUAAAGGCAAAGACCUUCUUUCUUAUAGCCUCUCUUUAGAUACUGGUAGAUCCCCUAUGGCAGAGAUGUGGCCAAGCAGGCCAAGACUAAGCAAAGAGGGAGGGCAGAUGCCAGCAGAAGACUGGUCAGGACUGUUCUGGUCCUGUUGAAAGUAUAGACACUGGCUUUGGGAGCAAAGGCAGUUGCUGCCUUCAGCCUUGGCACCUAAGCAGUGAGUGGUAGUGAGUGGUGGAAGGAAA